GAUGAACGCUGGCGGCGUGCUUAAUACAUGCAAGUCGAACGGAGGUAUGUAGCAAUACGUAUCUUAGUGGCGAACGGGUGAGUAACGCGUUGGUGACCUACCCCAGAGAGGGGGAUAACAGUUCGAAAGGACUGCUAAUACCCCAUGCCGUCAUGGAGCUUAGAAAUCUAUGUCGAAAGGUGCAAACCGCUCUGGGAGGGGCCUGCGUCCCAUCAGCUAGUUGGUAGGGUAAUGGCCUACCAAGGCGACGACGGGUAGGGGGCCUGAGAGGGUGACCCCCCACACUGGCACUGAAACACGGGCCAGACACCUACGGGUGGCAGCAGUAGGGAAUAUUGCACAAUGGGCGAAAGCCUGAUGCAGCAACGCCGCGUGCGCGAUGAAGGCCCUCGGGUUGUAAACCCCUUUCAGUCGGGACGAAAACAGACGGUACCGACAGAAGAAGCACCGGCCAACUACGUGCCAGCAGCCGCGGUAACAC
rnacentral:rRNA from 1 species